ACACCCCGGCUGUACGUGGUGCGGUAGCGCCCCGGCUCUGCAGUGGUUGUGUAAAGCCCCAGCUCCUGGAGUCCCGUGAGAGCCUCCGCAUCCCUUAACCGUUCUAGCCCGCAGGACAGCGGAGAUAAGCGGGAAGACUUGAACCUUAGCGGCUCCAAAGGCAGAAGGAAAAUGUAAACAGCCCAAGAGGCGUUGUGUGCAUCGCACAGCCUUUGGGCCCUGAUGGUCAUUGGACACGGGGAGGUGACAGCACGGCAUGCAUGAUUCACUCAAAGCCCACCACCAAACUAACCUUCCCAGAAGCCAAAGAUAUCCUCUUAUCACCCCGCAAGAAAGUAUAGCCCUCCUCAAAGGCUAACGCCUGUGGUGAUUCUCGCUCUACUUCUGAGCACACUUUGUUCCUCUGCUCUACGCACUUCCCAUCUGUAGCACCACAAAGUCACAAAUGCCUCCUCCUGACAUUAGCCAAGCUGGCAAUAAUCAGUGGAGCAGAAGGAUGUUCAGUGAGGAGAUUCUCGUGAUUGUGGUGCCUUCCUCCAUUCCUUGGAUCAUUCAUGCAUCUGGACCUGGUUCCUCUGCCGGGCAUCCACUGACACCUUUGCAGAACAGUGCAAAACUGGUUCAGGAGGGAUACUAUCUACAGAGCUGAAAGAUGAUCUCAUGAUACUUGUCAUGACAAACAAGAAAUCCAACUGUACAAGAUCUCUCAACCAUGCACUGACCAGACUCUCAUCUUGUGAGCUCUUUGAGGCAAGGAUUGUGUCUGCUUACACCUUCCUGAGCCCAGUGAAGCCCUGACGCUGAUCAGGCUCUUUGUGCACUAGCUUUAUGUAAAUAAUAAAUAAUAAUAAUUAAUGCCACUGGUUUGCUUUGGAGAUCUGCAAGCUUCUACCUAUAGCUCACUGUCACCCUAAUCCCAACUUGUUAUAUUACUGAUUUUAGCAAUGCUUUUUGAAACAGUUAACCCCAAUUUAAAUGUAUACUGAGAUAUCUUUGCUAAAACUACUUUCCUAAACAGCAUAUUUUAAUAUUAUCUGAUUUAUGUUGUCAUUUUAAAAAAUCAUAUUUUGUAUUUAAAUAGAUUAAAUAUUUCAAGUGACUAAUGAUUUUGGAUGCCUCCAUCUUUUGAGUGCCCAACUUGAGAAACUAAAAGGAUUUUAAAGUUUUUUUGAGGAUGGAUGGUUAGCACUUUGAAAAUCUUGGCACUACUGUUUUCAUCCCAAAGCACUUCACAAAUGUCUCUUAUCCAGCACCACUGAAAAAAGCAGCCACCUCUGGAGAGACAGCACUGGACAACCAGUGCACAGCAUGCUGCCCAGGUAUGGGUGGGAGAAGGGACAUAUUGGCUAAAAAUACUAAUGCAAACCUGAUUUGUCAUGGGAUCUUUAAUUUCUGCUCUUUGCUGUGGUGAUGAACCCAGAUGCAGGCUCAUUGUACAUUAUUAAAUAAAUAAAACAAUAAAGUAACUAUUGACCAUGCAGUUUUAAGGUCUUCUCUGAAAUACUCAUACACAGUAUAUUGCGUGGUGCUUACUCUAUUUUUCCCAGAAGGAUUAAGGUGUUAGGGGACUCUGUUGGCAUUUGAAUUUGAGAUCCAAGGAAGUGUUUUUUUAAUAUAAAAUUUAUGUGUUUAUUUUAAGUUACUGAUCUUAGUGAAGUUAAGUAAAAGAAUGUGCUUUAGUUACCACUAAAAAUGUAACAUCUCUAUAUAUGAGACUCUGUUUUAUGUAACUGAAUCUGCAACUUAUUAGAGAGACAAGGUGGGUGAGGUCAUUAUUGGACCAACUUCUGUUGGUGAGAGAGACAAUC